rnacentral:rRNA from 1 species
UACGGGGGGUGCGAGCGUUGUCCGGAAUCACUGGGCGUAAAGGGCUCGUAGGCGGUUUGUCACGUCGGGAGUGAAAACUCAGGGCUUAACCCUGAGCCUGCUUCCGAUACGGGCAGACUAGAGGUAUGCAGGGGAGAAUGGAAUUCCUGGUGUAGCGGUGAAAUGCGCAGAUAUCAGGAGGAACACCGGUGGCGAAGGCGGUUCUCUGGGCAUUACCUGACGCUGAGGAGCGAAAGUGUGGGGAGCGAACAGG